rnacentral:tRNA from 1 species
GGGGCGUUUCGAUGGUGUCGACCGUAGGCCCGAAAACCCGAUCGGCUCCGGGUUCGAUUCCCGGACGCUCCA